rnacentral:rRNA from 1 species
CUCCACCGGAAAAAGAAGAGUGGCGAACGGGUGAGUAACACGUGGGUAACCUGCCCAUCAGAAGGGGAUAACACUUGGAAACAGGUGCUAAUACCGUAUAACAAUCGAAACCGCAUGGUUUUGAUUUGAAAGGCGCUUUCGGGUGUCGCUGAUGGAUGGACCCGCGGUGCAUUAGCUAGUUGGUGAGGUAACGGCUCACCAAGGCCACGAUGCAUAGCCGACCUGAGAGGGUGAUCGGCCACAUUGGGACUGAGACACGGCCCAAACUCCUACGGGAGGCAGCAGUAGGGAAUCUUCGGCAAUGGACGAAAGUCUGACCGAGCAACGCCGCGUGAGUGAAGAAGGUUUUCGGAUCGUAAAACUCUGUUGUUAGAGAAGAACAAGGAUGAGAGUAACUGUUCAUCCCUUGACGGUAUCUAACCAGAAAGCCACGGCUAACUACGUGCCAGCAGCCGCGGUAAUACGUAGGUGGCAAGCGUUGUCCGGAUUUAUUGGGCGUAAAGCGAGCGCAGGCGGUUUCUUAAGUCUGAUGUGAAAGCCCCCGGCUCAACCGGGGAGGGUCAUUGGAAACUGGGAGACUUGAGUGCAGAAGAGGAGAGUGGAAUUCCAUGUGUAGCGGUGAAAUGCGUAGAUAUAUGGAGGAACACCAGUGGCGAAGGCGGCUCUCUGGUCUGUAACUGACGCUGAGGCUCGAAAGCGUGGGGAGCAAACAGGAUUAGAUACCCUGGUAGUCCACGCCGUAAACGAUGAGUGCUAAGUGUUGGAGGGUUUCCGCCCUUCAGUGCUGCAGCUAACGCAUUAAGCACUCCGCCUGGGGAGUACGACCGCAAGGUUGAAACUCAAAGGAAUUGACGGGGGCCCGCACAAGCGGUGGAGCAUGUGGUUUAAUUCGAAGCAACGCGAAGAACCUUACCAGGUCUUGACAUCCUUUGACCACUCUAGAGAUAGAGCUUCCCCUUCGGGGGCAAAGUGACAGGUGGUGCAUGGUUGUCGUCAGCUCGUGUCGUGAGAUGUUGGGUUAAGUCCCGCAACGAGCGCAACCCUUAUUGUUAGUUGCCAUCAUUUAGUUGGGCACUCUAGCAAGACUGCCGGUGACAAACCGGAGGAAGGUGGGGAUGACGUCAAAUCAUCAUGCCCCUUAUGACCUGGGCUACACACGUGCUACAAUGGGAAGUACAACGAGUCGCGAAGUCGCGAGGCUAAGCUAAUCUCUUAAAGCUUCUCUCAGUUCGGAUUGUAGGCUGCAACUCGCCUACAUGAAGCCGGAAUCGCUAGUAAUCGCGGAUCAGCACGCCGCGGUGAAUACGUUCCCGGGCCUUGUACACACCGCCCGUCACACCACGAGAGUUUGUAACACCCGAAGUCGGUGAGGUAACCUUUUGGAGCCAGCCGCCUAAGGUGGGAUAG